UCUUUUCUUAGUGUUCCCGGCAAAUUCCCGGCAACUCUUAUUUCCAAUAUAACUUCCCCUCAGUUUCUCUAUAAAUGUCACCAAAUGCUCUAUUACUGAGGAAAUAUAUCCCUUAUUUUCAAAGCCCAAUAUUGAAGAAUAAUUUGACUUGCUACACGAUCUAUGCCAGGUCUCUGGGCUAUGGUGAUUUCAAUGGUUAGAUUGAUUUGUUUAGAUCCAGUGAAAAUGCUGCCUUGACAACGCUACGUCAUGGCUUCGGUGUUCCAAAAAGCCUCUGUCAGAAGUCUGUCACUUUUACAGUCUGUGAUAAAACACUUUGUGUACAUGUUGUUGAAACGUUAUGGAUAUUAGAAAGUUUUUCAAAAGACCACGCCAGCUCGCUCAAGCAACAGCAUCGCCCAGUGAACUGACGGAUGGUGUUGUUUCAGGAGCAAGGAGACUGAGGCCACCUAGAAUGAAUAGGCCGCCACCCUGGGAUCUUCCCACUGUUCUAGAAUUUCUUUGUGUAUAUUUUCACCUGCACCUGGCCUAAAUAUAGUGGGGAUGUGCACGCAACCACUCUACCAGACAUUGUGCACAUCGCUCUCCCAUGUCCACAUCAUUGAGGUGGCCAUGAGGAGGACGUCACCCAACCAACAACCUACAGUAACUACCUGAGCGCUGCCGCAAUGGCUACCCACUGCUCCAGCUAGUGACCUGUAACCACACCAGGAGAAGUGACCACAGGGACUCUGGGGAAGGAAGCAUCAGACAGUCUUUCUGAAUUUAAUAAAU